AACGAACGCUGGCGGCAUGCCUAACACAUGCAAGUCGAACGAGACCUUCGGGUCUAGUGGCGCACGGGUGCGUAACGGGUGGGAACCUGCCCUUGGGUUGGGAAUAACUCCCCGAAAGGGGUGCUAAUACCGGAUAAUGUCUUCGGACCAAAGAUUUAUCGCCUUUGGAUGGGCCCGCGUUGGAUUAGCUAGUUGGUAGGGUAAAAGCCUACCAAGGCGACGAUCCAUAGCUGGUCUGAGAGGAUGAUCAGCCACACUGGGACUGAGACACGGCCCAGACUCCUACGGGAGGCAGCAGUGGGGAAUAUUGGACAAUGGGCGAAAGCCUGAUCCAGCAAUGCCGCGUGAGUGAUGAAGGCCUUAGGGUUGUAAAGCUCUUUUACCCGGGAUGAUAAUGACAGUACCGGGAGAAUAAGCUCCGGCUAACUCCGUG
rnacentral:rRNA from 1 species